rnacentral:miRNA from 1 species
GAUGUCUGUGGCUCUGGGCAG